rnacentral:rRNA from 1 species
GAUGAACGCUGGCGGCGUGCCUAAUACAUGCAAGUCGAGCGAACGGACGAGAAGCUUGCUUCUCUGAUGUUAGCGGCGGACGGGUGAGUAACACGUGGAUAACCUACCUAUAAGACUGGGAUAACUUCGGGAAACCGUAGCUAAUACCGGAUAAUAUUUUGAACCGCAUGGUUCAAAAGUGAAAGACGGUCUUGCUGUCACUUAUAGAUGGAUCCGCGCUGCAUUAGCUAGUUGGUAAGGUAACGGCUUACCAAGGCAACGAUGCAUAGCCGACCUGAGAGGGUGAUCGGCCACACUGGAACUGAGACACGGUCCAGACUCCUACGGGAGGCAGCAGUAGGGAAUAUUGCACAAUGGGCGAAAGCCUGACGGAGCAACGCCGCGUGAGUGAUGAAGGUCUUCGGAUCGUAAAGCCCUGUUAUUAGGGAAGAACAGAAGUGUGAGAAACUGUGGACAUCUUGACGGUACCUAAUGAGAAAGCCACGGCUAACUACGUG